AUUGAACGCUGGCGGCAUGCUUUACACAUGCAAGUCGAACGGUAACAGGCCUUCGGGUGCUGACGAGUGGCGAGCGGGUGAGUAAUGCAUCGGAACGUGCCCAGAGGUGGGGGAUAACGCAGCGAAAGCUGUGCUAAUACCGCAUGUGAUCUGAGGAUGAAAGCGGGGGACCAAGCAGCAAUGUUUGGCCUCGCGCCUCUGGAGCGGCCGAUGUCAGAUUAGGUAGUUGGUGGGGUAAAGGCCUACCAAGCCGACGAUCUGUAGCUGGUCUGAGAGGACGACCAGCCACACUGGGACUGAGACACGGCCCAGACUCCUACGGGAGGCAGCAGUGGGGAAUUUUGGACAAUGGGCGCAAGCCUGAUCCAGCAAUGCCGCGUGCGGGAAGAAGGCCUUCGGGUUGUAAACCGCUUUUGUACGGAACGAAAAGGCUCUGGCUAAUACCUGGGGCUGAUGACGGUACCGUAAGAAUAAGCACCGGCUAACUACGUGCCAGCAGCCGCGGUAAUACGUAGGGUGCGAGCGUUAAUCGGAAUUACUGGGCGUAAAGCGUGCGCAGGCGGUCUUGUAAGACAGAGGUGAAAUCCCUGGGCUCAACCUAGGAAUGGCCUUUGUGACUGCAAGGCUGGAGUGCGGCAGAGGGGGAUGGAAUUCCGCGUGUAGCAGUGAAAUGCGUAGAUAUGCGGAGGAACACCGAUGGCGAAGGCAGUCCCCUGGGCCUGCACUGACGCUCAUGCACGAAAGCGUGGGGAGCAAACAGG
rnacentral:rRNA from 1 species